rnacentral:rRNA from 1 species
UACGGCGGGGGCUAGCGUUGUUCGGAAUUACUGGGCGUAAAGCGCACGUAGGCGGACUGGAAAGUCAGAGGUGAAAUCCCAGGGCUCAACCUUGGAACUGCCUUUGAAACUCCCGGUCUUGAGGUCGAGAGAGGUGAGUGGAAUUCCGAGUGUAGAGGUGAAAUUCGUAGAUAUUCGGAGGAACACCAGUGGCGAAGGCGGCUCACUGGCUCGAUUCUGACGAUGAGGUGCGAGAGCGUGGGGAGCAAACGGG